UACCGCACACGGGCGGGUCUCUGAGAACAUGGAGCCCACGUCUUUUACCCGGUGAUAUAUGCUGCACCAAUGCAGGACUCUGAAGAGGAUUCGUGGACCGAACUUCAGCUCACUGACACAGGAAAGUAAAUGCAGAACCAAAGAACCCAGCAUAUAGGCCAACCGCUCCACUGCUGCAGUACGUGGUCAUAAUAACAUUCAAUCCACUGCAAGAAUAAACUCCAGUACCCAGUGUGUCACAGAAGCUUGGGGUGGUACAGCCACGGAUGGCAGAGGAUUGUGAUAUUGUUCCUGUGGGAGAAAGAGCACGGUGUUAUUUCCACAGCCCGUGUCAUAGAAUUUCAACGAAGAAAAAUCCUUGAAUGAGUACUGUUGCCAUAUAUUUAAUUUAAUACACUGUCUCUCCCCUUACAUCAAACAAAAUAUUUAAAAACAAAUUAA